UCAAGGGUUUCCGAGUUAGAGCUUAACGGAUGAAAAACCCUCGCCGGACACGUCGAAGAGG
rnacentral:sRNA from 12 species